UUUUUUUUCUUUUCCUCUUUUAUUUAUUUAUUUUAUCUGAAUCCAAUCCUUAAAGAUAUCAGAGAUAGCAGCCAUAAAUGUAAUUUAAAAUGUAUUGAAUUUGUUAGUAAUAUGCUGCACAUGAAGAAUGAUAUGCGGGUAUCUCUCAUGAGUUUUUUUUUUUUUUUUUUUUUANUUUAACUUUGUUUUUUUAUAAUAGAGGCUACUUAAUCAGUUGGAGCUACUUGGCCGGA
rnacentral:misc_RNA from 1 species